rnacentral:rRNA from 1 species
AGUCACUGACAUUAGAUACCCGGGUAGUCCAGGGUGUAAACGCUGCAGACUUGGUGUUGGAAGUCCUUUGGGGGGCAUUCAGUGCCGGAGAGAAGUUGUUAAGUCUGCUACUUGGGGAGUACGUCCGCAAGGAUGAAACUUAAAGGAAUUGGCGGGGGAGCACCGCACCGGGAGGAGCGUGCGGUUUAAUUGGAUUCAACACCGUAAAACUCACCGGGGAAGACUGUUACAUGAAAGCCGAGAUGAAGACUCUGCUAGAUUUUCAG